rnacentral:rRNA from 1 species
ACGGGUGAGUAACGCGUGGGUAACCUGCCUCAUACAGGGGGAUAACAGUUAGAAAUGACUGCUAAUACCGCAUAAGCGCACAGGGCUGCAUGGCCCGGUGUGAAAAACUCCGGUGGUAUGAGAUGGACCCGCGUCUGAUUAGCUGGUUGGAGGGGUAACGGCCCACCAAGGCGACGAUCAGUAGCCGGCCUGAGAGGGUGAACGGCCACAUUGGGACUGAGACACGGCCCAGACCCCUACGGGAGGCAGCAGUGGGGAAUAUUGCACAAUGGGGGAAACCCUGAUGCAGCGACGCCGCGUGAAGGAAGAAGUAUCUCGGUAUGUAAACUUCUAUCAGCAGGGAAGAAAAUGACGGUACCUGACUAAGAAGCCCCGGCUAACUACGUGCCAGCAGCCGCGGUAAUACGUAGGGGGCAAGCGUUAUCCGGAUUUACUGGGUGUAAAGGGAGCGUAGACGGAAGAGCAAGUCUGAUGUGAAAGGCUGGGGCUUAACCCCAGGACUGCAUUGGAAACUGUUUUUCUAGAGUGCCGGAGAGGUAAGCGGAAUUCCUAGUGCAGCGGUGAAAUGCGUAGAUAUUAGGAGGAACACCAGUGGCGAAGGCGGCUUACUGGACGGUAACUGACGUUGAGGCUCGAAAGCGUGGGGAGCAAACAGGAUUAGAUACCCUGGUAGUCCACGCCGUAAA